AGUCCCACCCCCCGACCUCCGGGGAGGAGAGAGGGAUUGAAGGUUAAGUUGAUCUUCAAUGGCCAAUGAUUUAAUCAAUCAUGCCUGUGUAAUGAAGCCUUCAUAAAAACCUAAAAAAGGACGGGGUUUGGAGAGCUUCCUGUAAGCGAACCCGUGAAGGUUCCAGGAGGAUGGCGCACCCGGAAAGGGCGUGGAAGCUCCGCGCCCCUUCCCACAGACUUUCCCCCAUCCAUCUCUUCAUCUGGUGUUCAUCGAUAGCCUUUGUAAUGUCCUUAAUAGUAAACCGGAAAACAGUGGAGGAAGAAGAGAAUCACCACAUAUCGUAUUUAGAGGUCCUGCAGAAAGGGCAGAGCGAGUUUCAUGUUUGAGUGCAGCGGAUGCAUGGGCAAAGCAUUACACAGCCGCUCCAUGGAAGUGACAAUGAGCCUUGUCUUUCACACGUAACUCCAGGAACCAGGGGAAACAAAACCAAUUCCACCCAGAGGUACAGACAAAGAAGAGCACCCUCCCAAAGGAGCCCGCAUGAUAAGUGGCCACGGCGAACAUCACUGUGAUCAGUCAGAAAGGCAGGUAAAUAAAAAUCAAAGAGCGUUCGAGGCAGCCGCAUUGACUCACCUUGCAGACAAGCAAGCAGAGCCGCAGAGCAGUGACCCGUGCCCAGCGCCUCGCAGCUAGAGCUGGAUUGGAAUCCAGGGCUUUGCAGGCUUCCUGCUUCACUCAAUCCUCUUUCUGUUGCCUCUGGCCUCAAGGUGUUGGCCUGGGAGGAAGUAGCAGAUUAAAUUCCAUGGGCACGAAGUCCGUAGCUGACGAAUACUUAAUAUGUUGCAGUUUCACAGUGAAAGUUGGCAAGUCCAGGGUGGGAACAUGCCCCAAGCAGCUGAGUCUUCUGGAUUUUACUUCUGUUCUUUGCCUCUCAAUUUUUGAUUUUGUUAUAUAAAAAGCAAAUCAGUAA
rnacentral:lncRNA from 1 species